ensembl:lncRNA
GGCAGCAGGCCAUCUAACAGGAGGCAGUAGGCCAUCUAACAGGAGGCAGCAGGUCAUCUAACAGGAGGCAGCAGGUCAUCCAACAGGGGGCAGCAGGUCAUCUAACAGGGGCAGCAGGUCAUCUAACAGGGGGCAGCAGGUCAUCUAACAGGGGGCAGCAGGUCAUCUAACAGCGGGCAGCAGGUCAUCUAACAGGGGGCAGCAGGUCAUCUCACAGGAGGCAGCAGGCCAUGUUACAGGGGGCAGCAGUCCUCCCAAUCAAAUGAGUCUGGACUCCUGCUGUGUUCAGAUGGAGGCAGCCUAGAAGUAUCAAAUAGGGUUUGUCUAAAGAUAGAGCAGGAGGUUGUUGGUGACUCAGAAGACUUUCAGCUCUUCACACACCAACCACCUGGUCUCUGUGUC